CCCGCAAUGUUGUUACUGUCGGUUCAUUUUAUGCAAUUACAGUAGAGUCUUCUCCUGAUUAAGGCUUCUCCUUAAUCUCUCCUCAUUAUCCAACAUAUUCACUUAUCCAACGUUCUGCCGGCCCGUUUAUGUUGGAUAAGUGAGACUCUACUGUAUAUCUUUCCUAGCUGUGCCCUGCCACGCAUUGCUGUGGCCAAUUGGAAUUGCAUUGAGUAGACUUGCUGCUUGUAAGCCUGGGGGCUUUAUACUGUAUAUCUUUGUUUGUAGUCAAUUUGUUAGUAGCCAAUUUUUUUGUAGUCAGUGUUUUCAAUACAUUGUGAUGUUUUGGUGCUAAAUUCGUAAAUACAGUAAUUACAGUAGAGUCUCACUUAUCCAACACUCGCUUAUCCAACGUUCUGGAUUAUCCAACGCAUUUUUGUAGUCAAUGUUUUCAAUACAUCGUGAUAUUUUGGUGCUAAAUUCGUAAAUACAGUAAUUACAACAUAACAUUACUGCGUAUUGAACUACUUUUUCUGUCAAAUUUGUUGUAUAACAUGAUGUUUUGGUGCUUAAUUUGUAAAAUCAUAACCUCAUUUGAUAAUAGGCUUUUUCUUAAUCUCUCCUUAUUAUCCAACAUAUUCGCUUAUCCAACGUUCUGCCAGCCCGUUUAUGUUGGAUAAGUGAGACUCUACUGUAUAUAGAUAUAUAUGUUUCCUGACAAACCCAAAAGGAAAGACCAUUGUUGCGGAGGUUAAAAUCUAAUUUAUUUAACUACAAAGGUGAAACUAAUAGCUUUUGUGUAUCUGGGAAACAAACAAAACAAGUGACAAUUUUUUUUGUGGUGUUUUCAACGCAAAGAAAGUUUGACAUUUCAGAAAACCAGAGAAAACCAGGGCCUCCUUUAAGCAACUACAAAACCCAUUUGAACUCCAUCGCCUUCUAGUCCGGUCGAGGCUUCGUUUUGGAAUAUAUCUGAGAAGAUAGGAAUAGAGGUGAGCAGUCGUAAUGUUUGCCUUGUUUGACGUCUAGGAAACGGUGGGAGAAAAGAAGUCCCAAAACUCCCAAGAAAAGAAGUCUGAAAAUCCCUUGGGAUCGGAGGUUCAGCACUGAGAAGAUGGGAUGAAGGGUUGUUGGCUUCCUAGUUGGACAAAGUUAUUUUCUAUGACACGGCGGAGGAUAAGAAUUCCCAGCAUCCCAACAUGAGAAGUCCCAGAAUCCCCUGGGAUUGGAGGUCUGGCACUCUAUUAAUCUAUUAAUCAUGAUGCAUCUUGUCCUUCCCAGUUGGGAUCCAGUGAAAGCAAACUGCAGCGUCUCCUAAUUUUUGGAAUAACGGAAGAGAAAAAGUUCCGAAAUCUCCGAAUUAGGAGUCCCAGAAUCCCCAAAUGAGGAGUCCCAGAAUCCUUAGGGAUUGGCGAGUCAGCACUCGACCCGUGGAGAAGAUCGGAUAAAUCGGUUGCAUACAUCAAAAACAAACUGGUGGCUCGUAAUUCUCAAACUGGUGGAAGAUGUCCCAGAAUCCCUAGAGAAGAAAUCCCAGGGAUUGGAGAGCCAUGACUUAAUUGAAGAUGGGAUAAACAGGAGUCUCGCAAUUCUCAAAACAGUGAAAGAUCUGAAGUCCCAGAAAACCCCGGGAUC
rnacentral:lncRNA from 1 species